CCGGCGUCUAAGGUAGGCUUCUACUACAAUACCUUACUGAUGAGUCCAGUAGUGGAAGCCGGGACGAAACGCCAA
rnacentral:hammerhead_ribozyme from 15 species